GAUGAAGAACGUAGCGAAAUGCGAUAAGUAAUGCGAAUUGCAGAAUUCAGUGAGUCAUCGAAUCUUUGAACGCACAUUGCGCCCUGUGGUAUUCCGCAGGGCAUGCCUGUUCGAGCGUCAUUUCAACCCUCAAGCUCUGCUUGGUGUUGGGCCCUGCCCGCUGCGGCCGGCCCUAAAGACAGUGGCGGUGCCGCCUGGCCAUGAGCGUAGUACAUCUCUCGCUCCAGUGCCCGGUGGUAGCCUGCCAGAACCCCAACUCUCGUGGUUGACCUCGGAUCAGGUAGGGAUACCCGCUGAACUUAAGCAUAUCAAUAAGCGGAGGA
rnacentral:misc_RNA from 1 species